GAAAAUUAGCGCGGUGGGAAAGCGCGCGACUGACCAAAUUUUGGCCCAAAACAAACGCGUACGCGCCAGCCCUCUACCAGAUAACAGCGCCCCCAGAAAAAGCCAAAUAGCAGCGCCGCCCCCAAAUCGACGCCCAAAUCCUUCGUGCGCUCCACCAGAUCGCCGCCGCCGCCGCCCCCGCCCGCCACCAGACCACUGCCGCCGCCGCCCCCAGCCAUCACACCGCCGCCGACCUCCCUCCAUCCCGAGCAGUACCGCCGUCGCCCUCCACGCCGAGCCGUGCUGCAGUCGCCCUCCACGCCGAGCCGAGCUGCAGUCGCCCUCCACCGCUCCAGAGCGGCGCCGCCGAGCACCCAAUUGACCGCAGCCGCCAGCCACUUCUGAGCGGCGCCCCCAAUCACUCCAGGUCGGGGCCCGUCGGCCGACCUCCACCCAGACCAUUUCCGUCGUCGGCAACGGAAAGGGCAAGAGGAAGCAGUGCCUUCCCAAGGCGGCAUCGUGCUCCUCUUCUCCGCGGCCGUUCACGCUGGCGAGCAUGGGAGGGCUCCCGACCACGGCUUCAUCCCCGCUGACGGCGAGCACGGUGCCUCUCCACUUAGAUCCGUGCCGGUGGAAACCCGAUGCAGUCGCAAGUACGAAGCCAGAUUUCCCCUCCCUCCUACAUCCCCCAUCCACCGAGUUAGUAAUUCUUCCGUAUUGCUGUUUUUUUUCUUUUGCUGCCAAAUUGAUGGAGGUGCUAUUAGUGAAAGGACUGGAGACUGGUUCUAGCAGCGGUAGAUUUUUCGAGAAAUUCCAAGUGCUCGUGAUUUGCAAAGGGUUUCAGCCAAGUUAGUGUACGUGUACUCUCCUAUGAUUAGUAAAAUUUCAUGUGCCUGUAUGCACCCUUUUUAGGUACAUGGAUCCAUCUUUUUUUAUUCAGGUUCAAACAUUGCACAACUGAAGACAUUUGUUAUAUAGCUCGAGACAGUUUACUCACUAUGGCUGACUGUUAUUCCAGGAUAAUAUGCAAUGUUAAGUCAAUUAUUUUCCUCAUGCUACCACAAUUUUUUCCAACAUUAAUUUUUCAGCUGCUUGAUGGAAUCAUGGAAGGAACAUACAGUGCAGUACGAGACGAGGGAUGGUCUGAUGAUGUUGUCGAGAUGAGUAUGGUGCUCAUACUGUUAUCAUUUUGUAUUCAGAAUCUUUGAUGUUAAAUGGUGGGGUGUUAAAUGCAGCCCUCGAUAAAAAAUGGAGAUUAUACUACCAUAGUUAGCUCCACUGUAGAAAGUAACAUAACCAGCCUGAAGUAGGUGUAUAUCUAUUACUCUUUAAUAGUACAUAAGCUUUUGAACCUAGUAGGUCAUUGCCUCAGAGUUAUGCCUGCUUAGAUUAAUGGUUGCUAUGCUAACAAGAUACAGUGAAAAAUUACUUUGUUUCGAAUACAGUAAGUAUAUGACCUUAUAUAAUGGUUUAUGAUUAGAAUUAGCAAGGCCCCUUCCUCUUAAUGUGUUUACACUUCCUCUGAUGAAAUAAUAUGCUGUCUAUGAACCUUAACAAUCGUCAUCUCAGCUAAACAAAAAAGGAACAAGGCCCACCAGAUUUGUUCGUAGUGCACAUUGUUUUUUCUACGAAAUAUUGGAGUAUCUGGAUCACAAAUCUGACCUGUAAAAAUGUUCAAACUUAUUGAUAUUUUAUUCCUGAAAUUUUAAAAACAAUGAAUACAAUUUUUUAACUUAACCUGGCUUCAUGUUUUCUGUCCUGUGAAUAAAAACAAAGCUUCACUACAAGGCGAUUUUCUGGUGAAUGAAUUAAACUCAAGGUCUCUAGCAAAGGAAUCAAGUUUUUCACAACUUGUGAUUUUGAACAACAUUUUAUUUUAUUCACAAGGCGAUUUUGAACAUAAUGGUGGAUUCUAAUUAUAGUGAACUAGAUAAGCAGCCUUGGGUGACAUUUUGAGCUCUUGGCUAUUGUCUUUAACUGUCAAGUGUGUAGCAGCCAACAGUGUGAAUUUAUGAUGGUUAUUUAGUUUAUUUGAUUGUACGCUAUGCAGAGCUUUCCUCAUUAAUUCAAUUUUACACAAAAUUGGAAGGCUAUUGUAUUGCUGCGUAAACUGGAGCAAGGCCGUACCAUUUCCAUCUGACAAAACAUCCUGAAUGUCCUGUCUAGUUCUUCCACUCUAACAAGGCCAUACAUAACGGUGUUGUAAGAUGAAAGUCCGGGCAGUAUUUAGCUUUUAAACUUACAGUAUACUGCUCUUACAGUGUUGUGAGAUUGAAGGUCCAAUAUACUACACUUCAACACAGAUCUUUAUCAUUAUUUGAGAAGUAAACUUUUAAUCGGCAGUAGAGUUGUAUCUAGUAAACUUUGGAAUUUCUUGAUUAAUUUUCUGUAUCUAUGACUGCAAUGGUUGCAGCGAUCUAAUUUGCAUGUUUGUGUGUGUUCUUCAGGAAUCAUGAUACUACUUUGCGAUCUGAUUGGUGAAAGGGUAUUUUCUAUGGUUCUCUCAUAUCCGACUGGUCUUUUUCUCUCUAUAAAGUAGCAUUGAAAAUGUUCUUUUAUUUCCUCUGACCUCUCAGAAGCUCACACCUGAAUACCAUGAUAUAUGCCUUUAAGAAAACUCUGUAUGUUCUUUUGAUUUAAACCUAACACCAAACAUUUUAGUUUCUAUACUUCUGUCAGUUAAGGCUGGAAAAAUGUUUGAUUUUUGUUGUUGUACUAGUUGCCUUUGUGUGCUCAUACAAAAAUACUACUCCCUCCGUUUCAAAAUAGAUGACUCAACUUUAUACCAACUUUUAGUACAAAGUUGAGUCAUCUAUUUUGAAACGGAGGGAGUAGAUCCUAUGAUGUCAAAAAUUUAUACAGAUUGUGGAUGGCACUUUUUUCUCGAACGUUGUUCCUAUUGUCUUAUGUGCAGUUUUUUCAAACAGAGUUUGAUGAGUCUUCACUUUCAGGAAACUAAACUUAAUAUUAGAGGCAAUCACACCAUGCCGUUACGGGUUUAAUUAUUUGUCCAGACCUGAAACUGUUGUCAUGCUUUCCAGGAAGGGCAACUAGAUGUGCUUAAUUCAUGUGCCCAGGCUUGAAACUGCGGACAUUUUUUAGCUUUUUAUUAAAUCGAAUAUUCACUCGAUGCCUUGAAGGGAAAUUUGUCGAGAAAAUGUUGGGCGGUGCAUCUUUGUAGAUUCUGAGUAUCGUAAUAAAUGUAAUGGAUAUAAUGUUUUCUAAUACAUGACUUGUGAUUUGAUGUCUUCCUGUCCAGGUUGAAAAUGUUCCUGUAAGAUUCGUUAAGACGCCUUGCCGUAACCAUAUGCCGUGAGCUCACACAGAAGAACUUACAGGCUUUACUCUUUGUGUUUGUUACAUCUUGUACUGUCGGAUGUCUAGAGACUAUAGAUGCUAAAUUAUGAGGGAAGUCUUCAUGUGUAAUCAGUGAAUUGCAUAGAUUGUAAAAUGUUUGAUGAUCAGACUUUAUAAUAUAUAUGCGAUGUGCACCUGCA